GACAGAGGAUGCAAGCGUUAUCCGGAAUGAUUGGGCGUAAAGCGUCUGUAGGUGGCUUUUUAAGUCCGCCGUCAAAUCCCAGGGCUCAACCCUGGACAGGCGGUGGAAACUACCAAGCUGAAGUACGGUAGGGGCAGAGGGAAUUUCCGGUGGAGCGGUGAAAUGCGCAGAUAUCAGGAGGAACACCGGUGGCGAAGGCGGGUCUCUGGGCCGGAACUGACGCUGAGGAGCGAAAGCGUGGGGAGCGAACAGG
rnacentral:rRNA from 1 species